rfam:Bacteroides faecichinchillae strain DSM 26883 genome assembly, contig: Ga0131157_102
GGUCUUGUAGCUCAGUUGGUUACACACGAUAAAUCCGCAGGAUUUGUCGUGCUCGGCAACAGACUCAUAAUCUGGAGGUCCCUGGUUCAAGCCCAGGCUGGUCCA